AUGACGAGCCCGGAGCUGGACGAGGGCACGGUGGAGAGGCAGCCGGCGGCGGCGUCGCGUGGUGGCAGGGUAGCCGUGCAGGCGAGGGACGGGGUGUUCACGUGGGACGACGAGGAGACGGAGGCUGGGAUGAAGGUGCUUCGAGGCAUCGACCUGGAGAUCCGCAGCGGCAAGCUGGCCGCGGUGGUCGGCAUGGUCGGGUCCGGCAAGUCGUCGCUGCUCGGCUGCAUCCUCGAUGGGAUGCGCAAGGUCUCCGGUAAGGCUACAGAAAGGUUGGAAGUAGCCUACCCAACAAUAAAGGAGCUGGCUCUUGUUAGUGCUCUAAGGCUGUGA
rnacentral:rRNA from 1 species